rnacentral:rRNA from 1 species
AGACCGAUAGCGAACAAGUAGAGUGAUCGAAAGAUGAAAAGCACUUUGAAAAGAGGGUUAAAUAGCACGUGAAAUUGUUGAAAGGGAAGCGCUUGUGACCAGACUUGCGCCGGGCUGAUCAUCCGGUGUUCUCACCGGUGCACUCUGCCCGGCUCAGGCCAGCAUCGGUUCUCGCGGGGGGAUAAAGGCCCUGGGAACGUAGCUCCUCCGGGAGUGUUAUAGCCCAGGGUGUAAUGCCCUCGCGGGGACCGAGGUUCGCGCAUCUGCAAGGAUGCUGGCGUAAUGGUCAUCAGCGACCCGUCUUGAAACACGGACCAAG